rnacentral:tRNA from 1 species
CUGGACUUAGCUCAGCUUGGUAGAGUACGUGCCUAAGACGCGGGGGCGCUGGUUCGAAUCCAACAGUUCAGA